UCUACACCCUGUUUCCCCUUCUAGAACGUGGGUCGGUUCACUUUGUUUUAAGAUCAGUGUUUUGGAUUUUUAAAGAGAACCGCCCAUCUGGUCGAGUUGAGUGAGUUGUUGUGAGUGAGAGUGAGCACCACAGCCCGGCGAGGCGCAGUGUUCAGAAGAGUUGGUAUUUGAGAGUUGGUAACUCUAGACAAGGACUGGUAGGGUUGACGAGAGGACGCGGGGCAGGCAUGGGUUGCAGCCACAGCAAGGUGCGAGGCAGAAUUUGCAAGAAAACGAGGAAAAACAAAGUGAAAGAGGAAGAGAAGACUGUGAAAGAGGUCAACAACAGUCAAGAUGGAGGUAAAGUCCCUCUGGAGGAGCUGAA